rnacentral:rRNA from 1 species
GACGAACGCUGGCGGCGUGCCUAAUACAUGCAAGUCGAACGCAGUGGGGACGGGUGAGUAACACGUGGGUAACCUCCCAUCAGAGGGGAUAACACUUGGAAACAGGUGCUAAACCGAUACUGAUGGAUGGACCCGAGGUGCAUUAGCUUGUUGGUGAGGUAACGGCUCACCCAGGACACGAUGCAUAGCGGACCGGAGAGGGGGAGCUGCCAUACUGGGACUUGGACAGGGCCCAGACUCCUGCGGGAGGCAGCAGUAGGGAAUCGUCUGAAAUGGAGGAAAGUCUGACCUAGCAACGCCGCGUAAUGGAAGAAGGUUUUCGGAUCGUAAAACUCUGUUGUUAGAGAAGCGGUAUCUAACCAGAAAGCCACGGAUAACUACGUGCCAGCAGCCGCGGUAAUAC